CCCCGGCCACUCCACACUAAUGGCCGGCAAGCUGUGAAAAAAAGGAGGAUAAAAAAGCCCAGACUCGGGCUGCGGCAGUGUGGAGACCUGUCGCAACGCGGCGCAGUCCAUCGCGGCUGGCCGUGAGUACACAGCAAGCGGAGGCUCUGUGUGCGGAGUCAGAUAACAUGGCA
rnacentral:ncRNA from 1 species